rnacentral:tRNA from 1 species
GUCCCCAUCGUCCAACGGCCCAGGACCCCGCCCUUUCGGGGCGGCAACACGGGUUCGAGUCUCGUUAGGGCCU